GAUAUUAUGAAUUAUCAGUAAAUCUUUGUUGCCGGCCUCCCUCAGGGCCCCUGUUACUUUGUUCCACUAUUACCCCUUGUCCAACGCCCCUGACUUUGAUGUUUAUGUAAAGCACCUAAAGCUGGUCUGCCAACUGCCAAUAAACAGAAGAGAAUAAGAUGCAUCACCACUAGCGCCCUCACACUCACUUUCUCAGAGUUGAGUCUUCUGAGACCUGAUGGAGGAGAAAGAGGAGAGCGAAUAAUCAAAUUAGGUGGAAGAGAAACGUCAUCAUGUCAAAACUGGAGAAAUCUUUCAGUUGCUCACCGAAAA